GUUAAUGGGAAAUAAACUGGGGUCUGAGAGGCACAAAACCUGGUUAGCCAGUGCAGAGGGCUUUCUUGGUCUUGCUCUAUCUGUGGUCGGAUCAUAUCUGGGCUAAAUUAUAGUCAAGAAUGGUUUGUGCCCUGCUUCGCAGUUCGAAAGUGACUAGGGGAAUGCUAUGCACACAUCUGCUCGUGUAUUAUUAACAGUGCUUGCUAAGCAUCAGCGCCCCUGCGAGGCACACAUGGAUCCCUGUUUUAUGGACUGUUUGGGAACUCACGCACCGUGAAAUCCAUCUUCUUUGGUGCAUAUUUCUGACACUGUAGAAGAGAGAUCAUUACAGACAAUGCGUCUCAGAGUCCUACAUGCUCUUCCAAACUCCAGGAAUUUGCUCUUUUAAUUAUGAAUACAUUGCUAUAAGUAUCCAUGCACAAGAUCCUGCUGUAUAGAAGAUAUCAUUAGGAAAAUAAAUAAAACAUCCAAGCCAUGAACUGGAAGAAAUCACAUCAAAAUCUGGCCCCAAAAUAUAUGUAUAUUUAUACCAUGUUAAA